rnacentral:misc_RNA from 1 species
GAUGAAGAACGCAGCGAAAUGCGAUACUUGGUGUGAAUUGCAGAAUCCCGUGAACCAUCGAGUCUUUGAACGCAAGUUGCGCCCGAAGCCAUUAGGCCGAGGGCACGCCUGCCUGGGCGUCACACGUCGUUGCCCCCCCAUCUACUCCUUCGGGAUUGCGGGGGGCGGAUGAUGGCCUCCCGUGCGCCUCGCCGCGCGGUUGGCAUAAAUGCCAAGUCCUCGGCGACGCACGCCACGACAAUCGGUGGUUGCGAAACCUCGGUUGCCCGUCGUGUGCGGUCGUCGCGCAUCGAGGGCUCGAAAAAAUUGCCGGGUUCCGGCUCGGCUUUCAACGCGACCCCAGGUCAGGCGGGGUUACCCGCUGAAUUUAAGCAUAUCAAUACGCGGAGGA